GACGAACGCUGGCGGCGUGCCUAAUACAUGCAAGUAGAACGCUGAAGGGAGAGCUUGCUCUUCUGGAUGAGUUGCGAACGGGUGAGUAACGCGUAGGUAACCUGCCUGGUAGCGGGGGAUAACUAUUGGAAACGAUAGCUAAUACCGCAUAACAUUGACUAUUGCAUGAUAGUCAAUUGAAAGGUGCAAAUGCACCACUACCAGAUGGACCUGCGUUGUAUUAGCUAGUUGGUGGGGUAACGGCUCACCAAGGCGACGAUACAUAGCCGACCUGAGAGGGUGAUCGGCCACACUGGGACUGAGAUACGGCCCAGACUCCUACGGGAGGCAGCAGUAGGGAAUCUUCGGCAAUGGACGGAAGUCUGACCGAGCAACGCCGCGUGAGUGAAGAAGGUUUUCGGAUCGUAAAGCUCUGUUGUAAGAGAAGAACGAGUGUGAGAGUGGAAAGUUCACACUGUGACGGUAUCUUACCAGAAAGGGACGGCUAACUACGUGCCAGCAGCCGCGGUAAUACGUAGGUCCCGAGCGUUGUCCGGAUUUAUUGGGCGUAAAGCGAGCGCAGGCGGUUAGAUAAGUCUGAAGUUAAAGGGCUGUGGCUUAACCAUAGUACGCUUUGGAAACUGUUUAACUUGAGUGCAGAAGGGGAGAGUGGAAUUCCAUGUGUAGCGGUGAAAUGCGUAGAUAUAUGGAGGAACACCGGUGGCGAAAGCGGCUCUCUGGUCUGUAACUGACGCUGAGGCUCGAAAGCGUGGGGAGCAAACAGGAUUAGAUACCCUGGUAGUCCACGCCGUAAACGAUGAGUGCCAGGUGUUGGGUCCUUUCCGGGACUCAGUGCCGCAGCUAACGCAUUAAGCACUCCGCCUGGGGAGUACGACCGCAAGGUUGAAACUCAAAGGAAUUGACGGGGGCCCGCACAAGCGGUGGAGCAUGUGGUUUAAUUCGAAGCAACGCGAAGAACCUUACCAGGUCUUGACAUCCCGGUGCCCGUCCUAGAGAUAGGAUUUUGCUUCGGCACACCGGUGACAGGUGGUGCAUGGUUGUCGUCAGCUCGUGUCGUGAGAUGUUGGGUUAAGUCCCGCAACGAGCGCAACCCUUAUUGUUAGUUGCCAUCAUUAAGUUGGGCACUCUAGCGAGACUGCCGGUAAUAAACCGGAGGAAGGUGGGGAUGACGUCAAAUCAUCAUGCCCCUUAUGACCUGGGCUACACACGUGCUACAAUGGCUGGUACAACGAGUCGCAAGUCGGUGACGGCAAGCUAAUCUCUUAAAGCCAGUCUCAGUUCGGAUUGUAGGCUGCAACUCGCCUACAUGAAGUCGGAAUCGCUAGUAAUCGCGGAUCAGCACGCCGCGGUGAAUACGUUCCCGGGCCU
rnacentral:rRNA from 1 species